AAGGCUCUCCUGGUAACCCAGUACCACGGCUGCAGACACACACACCACCCAGGUGGACCUGCCCACCUGUCUGUUGUCCCCCUCAUGGACAGUGCAGCGCUCUGAGACUCCAUUGAGCUGCAGGUUUCUACGCAGGGCCUCCACGGCAUGUGGGUUCCACUCGCAGGCGUGAACGUGGGCCGCCCCGGAAUGUACCAGAUCAACAACAGUUUCCCCCCCGCAGUCAAACGCGGCGAUCCUCAGCUUCUCCGUGAUGUUUCCGGAAGAGAACAUACACUUGGUCACGUCGAAUUCCAACCUGCAACGCAUGCAACUUCAGCCAUGAAUCUUAACAGAUCUGCAAAUAACAUCAUCACCCGAGGGCUCCUGAAUCCGUUGCUGUCGACGCGUCCGAUCCGC